CUUGGUCAUUUAGAGGAAGUAAAAGUCGUAACAAGGUUUCCGUAGGUGAACCUGCGGAAGGAUCAUUACACACAGUAGUUUUCUACUGCUUGAGGGAGCUGAAAGUUAUUUCAACGAGUAGGCUGCCUGUUUGUACCCUUGUCUUUUGCGUACCUAUUGUUUCCUCGGUGGGCUUGCCUGCCGGUUGGACAACUAUAAACUCUUUUUAGUUUCAAUCAGCGUCUAAAUCAACAUAAUAAUUACAACUUUCAACAACGGAUCUCUUGGUUCUGGCAUCGAUGAAGAACGCAGCGAAAUGCGAUAAGUAGUGUGAAUUGCAGAAUUCAGUGAAUCAUCGAAUCUUUGAACGCACAUUGCGCCCCUUGGUAUUCCAUGGGGCAUGCCUGUUCGAGCGUCAUUUGUACCUUCAAGCUAUGCUUGGUGUUGGGUGUUUGUCCUCUCCUUUGCGUUUGGACUCGCCUUAAAGAAAUUGGCAGCCAGUGUAUUGGUAUUGAAGCGCAGCACAAUUUGCGAUUCUAGCUAAUAGUCACUUGCGUCCAUCAAGUCUUUUUUAACACUUUUGACCUCGGAUCAGGUAGGGAUACCCGCUGAACUUAAGCAUAUCAAUAAGCGGAGGA
rnacentral:rRNA from 1 species